rnacentral:rRNA from 1 species
UACGUAGGGAGCAAGCGUUGUCCGGAAUCAUUGGGCGUAAAGCGCGCGUAGGCGGCCCUGUAAGUCCGUUGUGAAAGUCAAAGGCUCAACCUUUGAAAGCCGAUGGAUACUGCAGGGCUAGAGUCCGGAAGAGGCGAGUGGAAUUCCCGGUGUAGCGGUGGAAUGCGUAGAGAUCGGGAAGAACACCCGUGGCGAAGGCGGCCGGCUGGGCCGGAUCCGACGCUGAGGCGCGAAAGCGUGGGGAUCAAACAGG